GGGCAAUUGGCGGAACUGGCAGACGCGUUAGAUUUAGGAUCUAAUACCGAGAGGUGUGUGGGUUCGACUCCCUCAUUGCCCACCA
rnacentral:tRNA from 1 species